AUUGAACGCUGGCGGCAGGCCUAACACAUGCAAGUCGAGCGGAUGAAGGGAGCUUGCUCCUGGAUUCAGCGGCGGACGGGUGAGUAAUGCCUAGGAAUCUGCCUGGUAGUGGGGGAUAACGUCCGGAAACGGGCGCUAAUACCGCAUACGUCCUGAGGGAGAAAGUGGGGGAUAUUCGGACCUCACGCUAUCAGAUGAGCCUAGGUCGGAUUAGCUAGUUGGUGGGGUAAAGGCCUACCAAGGCGACGAUCCGUAACUGGUCUGAGAGGAUGAUCAGUCACACUGGAACUGAGACACGGUCCGGACUCCUACGGGAGGCAGCAGUGGGGAAUAUUGGACAAUGGGCGAAAGCCUGAUCCAGCCAUGCCGCGUGUGUGAAGAAGGUCUUCGGAUUGUAAAGCACUUUAAGUUGGGAGGAAGGGCAGUAAGUUAAUACCUUGCUGUUUUGACGUUACCAACAGAAUAAGCACCGGCUAACUUCGUG
rnacentral:rRNA from 1 species